CCGUCGCGGUUGAACUUCCCGAGCGCUCAGCUGACUCGAGAGGAGGAGGAAUCGGCGCACAGGGGGAAUCAUGGCGGCGGAGAUCCACUCGAGGCCCCAGAGCUCCAGACCCGUCCUGCUCAACAAGAUCGAGGGCCACAGCGACGGCGUGAACGCGGCGCGGCUCAUCCCGAAGGAGGACGGGGUUAUCACGGUCAGCGAGGACAGGACGAUUCGAGUUUGGCUGAAGCGGGACAGUGGACAGUACUGGCCCAGCAUCUACCACACUGUGUCCUCUCCGUGUUCCUGUAUGUCAUAUCACCAUGAGAGCAGGCGGAUCUUCAUAGGCCAGGACAAUGGGGCUGUUGUGGAGUUCCUCAUCUCUGAAGACUUCAACAAAAUGAACCAUGUCAAAACAUACCCAGCUCAUCAGAACCGUGUGUCGGACCUCAUCUUCUCUCUGGAGAGUCAGUGGGUGAUCAGUACGGGUCAUGAUAAAAGCAUCAGCUGGAUGAGCACUCAGAGCGGCUCUAUGCUGGGACGCCACGGCUUCGGCUCGUGGGCUUCCUGUUUACAGUACGACAAUGAUACCCAGCAUGCCUUUGUGGGAGAUUACUCAGGUCAGAUCACUCUGCUGAAGCUGGACGAACAGACAUGCUCCGUCAUCACUACACUAAAAGGACAUGAAGGUAGUGUUGCUACGUUAUACUGGGAUCCCGUUCAGAGGUGGCUGUUUUCCGGAGCGUCUGAUCACAGUGUGAUCAUGUGGGACAUUGGUGGCAGACAGGGACGCACAUUACUACUGCAGGGACACCAUGAGAAGGUCCAGGCGCUGCGGUAUCUGCCGCUGACCCAUCAGCUCGUGUCCUGCUCUGCCGAUGGAGGGAUAACAGUCUGGAACAUGGAGACAACACGAGAAGAGGCUCCUCAGUGGCUGGACAGCGAUUCCUGUCAGAAAUGCGGACAGCCGUUUUUUUGGAACAUAAAGCAGAUGUGGGACACCAAGACCCUGGGCCUCCGACAGCAUCACUGCAGGAAGUGUGGAAAGGCGAUCUGUGGGAAGUGUAGUUCUAAACGCUCCACGUACCCCAUCAUGGGCUUCGAGUUCCAGGUGCGCAUGUGUGACGACUGCUACGACACAAUCAAAGAAGAAGAUCGGACUCCUUUGGCUACGUUUCAUGAAGGGAAACAUAAUGUCUCUCACAUGGACAUGGAUCCGAGCCGAGGACUGAUGGUCACCUGUGGCAGCGAUCGAGUUGUUAAGAUCUGGGACAUGACGCAGUUGGUGGGCAGCAGUGUAGCAGCGGGAUUCUCUCCGCGCUGAUUGGCUGUUUCCGAAGGCACCGCCCACACUCCGCCAACAGAGAUCAUGGAUCACCGACCCGUCUAACUCUCUCGUCCUUCAGCUGUGGAGUCUGCCAAACACGGACACUUCAGCACGGUGUAUGUGAAUAUGUGUGUCGUAGGGAUGCUCCUUGAUUUUAUGAAUCGGACGUUUUUUGUCUCUUAAGAGGUGUGAUGACCUGGAUUUGAGCAAACAUGAACUCAAGGAACAGAAAACUAGGUGUCUUUCCAUCCACUGGAAGUGAAUGAAGACUGAGGCUUCAACAAAGCAUCACAAAAUUUGUCCAUACAACUUGUGCACUAUACUACAACUAUCCUGAUUCUGUAUAAUAGCUUCUACAAACCAAAACUGACACGGAUAGUCUUUAAGACUUGCGUGAUAUGGACCGCGCUGCAUUGCAACAAAUAGUUUCUUCUUAAUAGCAUAAUCCAACCUGCCAGUUUGCAAUAUUUUUGCUGAUUUUAAAACCUGAGCUUACUCGAGGUAGUGCCAUGUUUCACUUAAAAAAUUAAAAUGAAGCUGCGAGUGAAAAAAACGCUAUCCCUCGCGUUGUUUGUUUGAUUCAAUGUGGCGCCAAACCUGCCUAGGUCGGUAAAUGCAAAUGAGAUUGGAAGGCGGGAAUUUCAGCAUUUCGUUUUUGACACGAAGCAUAUGACUUAACGGCAACGCUGUGUGUUCAAGAGGUUCGGAACGAUUUGACUAAACGAUGACGGAAAUGUCGUUUUGGGUGCACUGUUUCUUUAAACAGUUACGUUUGUUUCAAAUUGACGCACAGCUCGCGGCGGACGUCACGCCGGCCAAUGAGAAGCCAGAAUUCUAACCCGUUUACAAACGUCGUCUCUUUCCUUUCAUCCGCCGCUCUCCUCCGUCUUUUCGAGUUGUUCCUCGCGGUGUGCGUGUGCGUGUGCGCGUGCGUGCUCGUUCGCGUUAAAUGGCCUCUCGCUAGCGAUUUAAUUAAUAGCUUUUGUAGCCGAUUUCCCUCGUUUAAUGUCAAAAGGACGUGAAUGUAGAGCUGUUGAAUGCAGUGAUGUCACAGUUUUUUUUUUCCGAUUCAUGACGCCAUUGUCGUGUGUGACAUCACUUUCACGUCAUUUUAAUCGGAAAGAUACUGACCACGAUUGUAAUUUCUCAUCAGGGGCACCGAGGGAGUUUCACUUUCUUCGUUUCGUUCAUUCUUUUCCUUCACACUUCAGGGAGUCACACCGUUUCGCCCCGAUAUCGCGAUUCGGUUUAACCGCCGUGUAAAAUCCCACAAACCGUUUCCUUUCACACAGGCGUCGAAAACAUUGUAAAGCUCAAGCCCUAAAACUGUACAUAACUCUAAAUGACUCUGUUUUUCUAUGUGCUCUUUUUUCUAAAGCUUCCUUUACUUCGGUAGUUCAGCAAUGAAGUAUUAUUCUCUCUGUGUAUACAAAGUUGAGUUCAAACAUCUGUAUUUUUCUUAUAAAACUCUUCUGCCGCUAAUACGAAAACUGACGCAAGUCUUAAUGAUGACUGUAGUUUCAGUCAGAGAUCGAAAGAAAUAUUACAAUAAAGAUUUAAGAUGUAUCUCA